rnacentral:rRNA from 1 species
UACGGAGGGGGCUAGCGUUGUUCGGAAUUACUGGGCGUAAAGCGUACGUAGGCGGCUUUGUAAGUUAGAGGUGAAAGCCCGGGGCUCAACCCCGGAAUUGCCUUUAAGACUGCAUCGCUUGAACGUCGGAGAGGUGAGUGGAAUUCCGAGUGUAGAGGUGAAAUUCGUAGAUAUUCGGAAGAACACCAGUGGCGAAGGCGGCUCACUGGCCCGGUACUGACGCUCAUGUGCGAAAGCGUGGGGAGCAAACAGG